AUGCUAUCAGAGUUGUGGCUGUAUGACGCUCAUCUCACCGGCCUAUGCUGCUGGAGCUGUUUAAAUAGAGUAUCUUUGCGAACUGAACGCCAUAUAUGUCCCCUAUUCAGGGUGGAUGAGUGAUACACUGCAGAUAACUCUUGGAGGAAGUUGCCUUCUAAUGAAAGCUCCAAAUUUUGCAACAGAACCUAAAUUUAUCUAGUUACCAACCACCCAUUAACUUGAAACAUCUGUAUGGUCCAAAAUUGACUCUGCAAGUAAUUGGCUGAGCCAGCAGGGAGCAUAUGGAAAAUGUGAUUAAGCAAUAGUUCUUGGAUGAUACAACAAGGAUGUGCCAUAAAACCACAGGUUACAGUCAAUGUCCUCCUCAAAGACAUCUACUAGAAAAUUGUCAGACACAGUUCCCUCCAUGCACCCAUCCGUCCUUUACAGUGCCAUCCAUAUGUGUGGACAUUAGUGCAAGAUCGUGUUAAUGGUUAAGGUUAGGGAUGAGCGAA